rnacentral:ribozyme from 13 species
UUUUUUUUUUUUUUUUUUUUUUUUUUUUGCGUAUGUGUGUAUGUAAGUACUA